AGUGGCGGACGGGUGAGUAACACGUGAGGAUCUGCCCAUAGGACGGGGACAACAGUUGGAAACGACUGCUAAUACCGGAUGAGCCGAGAGGUAAAACUUUUUAAGGCCUAUGGAGGAACUCGCGGCUGAUUAGCUAGUUGGUGGGGUAAAGGCCUACCAAGGCACUGAUCAGUAGCUGGUCUGAGAGGAUGAUCAGCCACACUGGGACUGAGACACGGCCCAGACUCCUACGGGAGGCAGCAGUGGGGAAUUUUCCGCAAUGGGGGCAACCCUGACGGAGCAACGCCGCGUGAGGGAAGAAUGGUUGUGGCCAGUAAACCUCUUUUAAUAGGGAAGAAUACUGACGGUACCUAUUGAAUAAGCAUCGGCUAACUCCGUGCCAGCAGCCGCGGUAAUACGGAGGAUGCAAGCGU
rnacentral:rRNA from 1 species